CCGGGUGAGCUGGAAUUGCCUGGGUCAGACUGAGUGGGGCCUAGCUAAGGAGAAAGCAGGGGCCCAAGCUGAGCUAGGGAGCAGAGCCGGGCCAGAUCCAGAGGGGCCAGAGGCGCAGCCACAGAGCCAGAGACGCAGCCCAGGGAGAGCAGAUCCUGUGCUGGGAGCAGAGCUGCAGCCACAGAGCCAGUUUGCCUCCAGCAUUUGCAUUACUUUUCAUUCCAAGCACGACAUGAAGGAUUUGCCUGAAAACAGGAUCUUUGUUUCUCAACAGUGCAUCUGCUCAUUAUUUUCCCCAUCUUGGAGUCCUAAGAAUCCUUUGUUGGUUAAAUUACAUCCAGUUCCACAGCAACCAAUUGUCAUGCUACUGACCAAGCUUGUGACAUCAUCAGGUGCACAUCUGAACUGAGUCUGAAGAUUCUAUUUCUGCACAAAUGCCUUGGAAAGAGGAAAUCUGGGACGUACACAUAGAGAAGCAGGAAUGUUACUGGAAAAUAUUGGGCCAGAUCCUCAGCUGUUGUAAAUUUGUUCUUGUAUGAGACUGUGACACAGAGAUCCAUUGGUGGUUCACUACUCUGUGUCAGCAAUUCUUGUGGGGCUUGAUAUACUCACCACACCUAACACACUGUUGUCAUAGUAUAUCCCCAAAAGGUCCAGUAAUAUAGCACUGGAAAACUAAUAACUCACUGAUCAUUAAUAUUCUUGCGUGGUGUAUGGAGGGGGUGUGCACAGAGUUAUAAAUACUUGCUAGAAUUAUGUUCUUAAAAUGUGCUUGGCAAGCAAUGCAUAAGCCCAGUCUGUCCUGGACAAAGAAAUGUGUAUUUGCCUGUCUGUACCAGCCUGGUCAUCGAUGAAGUGACAAUGAAGGUACAUCUAUAAACAAGCUAAACAAAGCCAUCAAACUAGUGGGGGAGACAGCCUCUUAGGUAUGUAAACAGAGGGAUCUGGACCUCAACUGAUAAGCAGUUGAAUCAACUCAUUCUAUACAAUGUUACUGUAUUACGCAAAUGUAUUCUGUAAGGGCUUUUAUGUGACAUACUGGGAAUUAAAUAUCACUGUGAAAUGUCUGCAUUAA